UCAUCUGUUUCACUCUGCAGAUGCCUGUAAACAUUUGGUCUCAUACAUGUUUAUGUUGAAUUAGCAUGCUAGGCUAACAGUCUGUCAGCUGUGUGACUUUAUAUCGGUGCAGUGACGUCAUUCAGAGCGAACGAGCACCGUAAACCAUAGACUGUAUGCCGUAAACGCACCUGUCACCUUUCCAGCACUGUGCUGUUAAACCGGGAACACGUGGCUACACCUUAUUUUUAUACAGUCUAUUGGCUACACACAAUGCGGCAGGGCUAUGCUAACGAUGCUAACUAGCAGCUAGCCGCCGCGCAGACUGGUAAAAUGGUUCCGUCCGGCCGACCAAUGGUGUAAAUUCAUCACUCAGUGAGUCAGACAGUCAGAGGGACAUACACUCGGGGUCCGUGACCGGUCCAGCCAAAAAAUAUCAAAUAACAAAUGUAGUUUUACGUACGUCCCUUACAAAACAUGUAAAUGGAAGCAUUAUAUCCAGUAGCCAUUAUCAAGCAAACUUCUUCUUGCCAGGAAAAGUUAGCAGCGUCAUUUUCCUGUAAUGGAUUUAUCUCUACAUAUUAAACGCACCGCUAGUUGUUUAAAGACAUUGGACUGAAACAAAAAGCUUUUUUUCACUGAAACUCCACCAUAUUCACGGUGAAAACCUCAACCUGAUAUCUUGUUAACUUUUUUUGGACCAGUUAUCUGUGGGACUUAUGGACACUGGAAAGCAAGAAGAUCCUGUCAAACCUGGACUGAUCACUUCCUCAACCAACAAAGCUGCAAGACAUCAAUCAACUGAAGAUGCUGACAUCUUUGGAGAUGAUUGAUUCACCCCGUCUGGCCAGAGAGGAGUGGAGAGGAGAGCGGAGCUGGAUCCUCCCCGGGGCUGCAGCUUCCUGCCGCCUUGCCAUGGCUUCACCACUGUGUCACUUCACCAGCGAUGGAGCUCGCGCCCCCCCCCACCCCACCCCCCCCCUGCAGUCCCCCAUCUCUUGUCUCCAGCAAGCUGCUGCAAUCAGCACAGCCUCUGAUUGGACUUGGGCAGACCUUGAUAAGAUGGAGGGGAAAGGCUGCCUGUGUUUAGACUGCUGCACCUUGUUUCCUUGGACCUUACCCAGCAAACCUUGAGUCUAUAUGACAGACAGAUUGGGAAGCCGUGAUGGCGGCACAGAAGUUGAGGGAGAAGCUAUUUAUCCCAGACGGAUCAGGAGGUGUGUGACGGAGGUGUGGACGGUUGCUGCAGGUCAGUGACGUUGGCAGGCGCCAGGCAGGCCGGCCCACAUGGCUCGGGGACUGUGGGACUACAGACAGAUGGCACCUGAAACAGCUGAGUCUGGAGAUGGAAGUAGCUGCGUCAGAGAGGAGAUACGGCGAGGAGGAGAGACCCAGCCUCCAGAUGAGAGCGGGGCAGGAGAGGCUAGCUGCGUUGGAGAGGAGAGGGAGGGAGACACAGCGCCUGGCCCGGAGUCAGAGCAGCAGCCUCAAAAACAUUUCUGAAAUCGAAAAAGCAUGGCUGCAAGGCUGAAAGUUUCUGCCAAACUUUCUUUUACCUGGGUGAGAGGGGAGCACUUGAAAAUGAGUGAACAGCAGAACAUGGUGAGGAAUGGAGCAGUGCAGGUGAGGAGAGGGGAGAUAAAAAGCUGACAACGUUAAUAUGGAACCAAAAGGAGAGUGCAACCUGGCAGUCACUCAAAUCCUGCACCUGCACCUUUAUAAAACAAGCUCUCUGGUGUGCCUCUCUGGCUCCCUCUCUCUCUUUGUGUUCCCCUCAUUUCUCUCUCUUUCUCCCUCCCUCUCCCUCUUUCCUUUCCAUGUGCUGUGGCUUGGGGCGUUGUCAUUUUCGGCAUGUUUUCUCUACACUGUGCACUCUCUGUGUGUGUUAAUUGCGGCCAUCCUUGGGGAAGGGGAGAACGAUGAGGAGGACCUGUUCGAGAGCAGCCGUGCCAGGUUCUGUGGUACGAGUCAGCGUGGAGCUACAGACACCUGGUCUGCCUGAAGGGCAAGAGGAAGAUACACACACAUACGCACACAACUCUUGGUCAGCAGCACAGAUGAGUUCUGGGAAAACAAGCAGCUGCAGGAGGAGGAAAGGACCAUAAGGCUGGACGGCUUGCCAAAUUUCAUCAUCUAUUAUGGAUUGCCUGAGAUGCACACUCUACUGCAACCAGGGGCAUGUCUCGGAUUCACAUGCAAUUGCAAAUCUGCGUGCACACAUAUGCAUGCUCACAUUUACUAGGGCGCAGUAUUUCAAAACCCUGAACCCUAUAGGAACAGAACUUAGAAGGCCUUGUCCCCUAAACUGGGAACAAGAGCAAGAGCAUGUUCACUCCCUAUGAGCAAAACCAAUGAUUUGCCAUUUGAUUGCUGUAUAUUGUGCUGAUAAUUUACAGGAGAAAUUUAUCCAGGCACACACGCAUUCUACUUUAAAAAAAAAAAAAAAAGUGUAGCCAAACAGAUUAAAUGACAAGGUCCAUAUAGUACAAAGUAAUGGAAGAACACCCACAUUGUACCAGAUGUUAAGAACCCAAAACACAGAUGAUGAGUGGGGUGCACAUUAAUACAGAAAACUUGAACUUGUUGCAGUAUUACUAUGAGAGGAUAUUUUAAACAUACUACAUGGGAACUAUGGAUACAUAAACAGAACAGAAUCUUAUAGGAACAAGAGAGUUGAGAGAAUAUUAUUAUCACUUCCAAAGAUUUAUGGGCUAUUUAGAAAAUGUCAAUAGCAGAGAGUACUGAAAUUGCUCUCCAGAUGUUGCUUGUGGGCGAAGUUAUGAUGUCUGAUGGUUGCUAAUUUCUGCAAAUUUUUAAACUGAGAAGGAAAUAGGUUUAUAUGAUAUCCUGCUUUACUAUUUUUCAUAUCAUAAUUACAUAUAACUUCUAUUUAUGUUGCUGCUAAUCAGCUGCACUCAUUGCUGAUCUUAAAGUUAUAUCCAUGUACUAAUCUGCUCUGCUGAUUAUCAUUGCUACAUAACCUUUCAUAAGAGGAGUAUGUGUGUUCAAAGCCAUGAAUUUUUGUGAGUUUAAUGUGCUAAAAUUAAUAAUUAUCUUCUGCUUAGCUGAUGUGUCUGAUCUGUCUGCUGCAUAUCAAGUGGCUUACUGGGUUAACAUUUAUCCAUGUCAAUCAUUACAGUCACAGGUUGUCAUUUGCUUACUGAUUGGUUGCUGCAUGUCAAGAGGUGGAUCUUAACUAAUAUGAAUCUGUCAGAGGAAAAGAUGCAUGAGAGAGAGUAGAUGAAGAGGAGAGAAAGAGUUGCCCUCUGCUGAUAGUGAAGAAUGUUCGUUGAGACCAGGACGGACAAUGAAUGAUAAUCCUCAUCCCUGAGGUAUUUUGGUUUAGUUUCUAUCUUUGACUAUUUUUUAACCUAAAUAACCUGAAACCAAUUCUGAGCUCAGUGCACGGUUGGCAUCACAAGAAGAGGAAGAGACUGUGGGAAGCUGGUUGAGCUCAAGCUUAGGUUUCUUGUUGGCAACCAAGGAAUUCAGUGCAUGUUGCGGCCUGUCAGUAGCUGAUACCACACAGCCAAGAGGAUUAGCAGUAAUUCAAUAAUCAAAUAAUUUUACCAUUACUACCUGUGCUAUGACACAAUUGACUUCAUAGUAUAAACCCUGCAAUGGUUGAGGUGCUUUGUUGGGGAAUAGCCAUGCGAUAGCUGGUGUCUGGGCCUUAAAUAGAAGGUGCACUCUAGAUAGUAUAUUCCCUUCAUGGGCAGAAGUGCCUAACAGGCGAAUGGCCACAUGGCAGCUGGUGCCCAAUCCACAUAUAGUAGAUUUUAUGUAACAGCUGUUGUCAAGCUCUGUAUCUAAUGUGGUUUUGUGCUGUGCUGAGCUUGGUGUACGCUCGCGGUGAGUGAUGAGGUCAGAACCUAUAGCUAAGGCUGUGUUCAGCCCAACACCAGCCCUGCAUGAAAACAUGCAGUAGUGUUAUUAAUUUGAAUGAGGUUGGUCCAUGGACGCAGCAGGGAUGCCAACGCAGAGAGCUCACCUUUUGCCAGACAGCAGUGCAACGUCAUCCAGCAAGGUGCUGCGAUGGACAAUCAGAUAUAUACGCACAUUACUGGCAGAUUACUUUGUAACAUGAACGCUGUAUUUCUGUUGUUUAACUUGUGAUCGUCACAAUGAAAAUAUUU